GUGGGCAGCCGCAGCUGCUGGGGACACGGCAGGCUCAUCCGUCACCCCAGCGGGAGGCCCGGGCAAAUGCCCAGCUGCCCCGGGGACGCCACCUCCGCAGAGCCGCCAGAGCCCCACGGAGCAAACAGCUCUGCUUGUCUGCAAACAACAAAGGCACCUUCAAGAACUUUACCUAAGAGACGGAAAUGACAGUCGAUGCUUCCUUAGCAGACGUACACUUCUUUCCAGGUCGGCUGAGAGUUUUCAGACUUGGUCAUCAGGUUUAAUCUCCCCCCGUCUCCCGCCGUGGGUUCUGUUCACUCGGGCUGACUGGGAUCGAGAGUUUGGGCCUGACUCUCCCAGCUCCUGCAGACGUGUGGCCCCGGGCUGGCUCCGCACCUCCACGGCUCUCACAUGCGGGCGAUCCAGACCCCUCCACUUGAUGUUCACAGCUCGGGGGAGGGGCUGUGUGAUUUAACUAACAAGCUCCAUCCUAGUGACGGCGAGGAGGACAUGGCUGGCCGGAGACGUUACCAUCAGGAGUGACGUCUCUUCAGGAUUGGGAGGAUAAAUGCGGUGUGGCAUCUUCCUAUACCAGAUCACCGGGCAGCAGCUGGUUAUGGGAAUGAGCUGCCAGACAGAAGUUAUACCUUAGACUUCCAUUUCUGUGAAGUUCAAAACCAGGCUGGACUAAUGCACAGCACAAGUUGAUGACAGCGAUUGCCCCUGGGUGGGGUACGGGUGCCCACAAGUGGGGCUCCUGAGCCAACAGAGCCUUCGGGUCCUAUAUCUGAGGACUGGCUAGAUGGGAAUGUUCACUUCUCAAAAAUUCAUUGAACAGACACUUGUGAUUUCAGUAUGUUAAAAAAAAAUAUGUUCACAUUCAAUAAGAAGGGUACUAAAAGUGUCAGAGUUAUAAAUAAAAUAAAAUAAAAACACAGCAAACCAAACUAAAAAAUUAUCUCCUCAACAACUCUGGACCAAUGAGAAAAAUGAUUAAAGACCUGGAACAUACUCUUCUUUCAAGAAUUUGUCCUAGGUAAUUAAUCAUGGACACGUGCAAACACUAAGCAGUGUUUUUAUUGCAGAGUGAUUUAGAACAGUAAGAAAUUGAAUAUUAUCCAAGUGUUUACAGAAGAGAUUGGGUGAAUAUAUCAGGGCACAGCCACGAUGGAAUAUUAUUCAGUCAUUAAAAUUAUAUUGUAAAGAAAAACUGUUUCAUAAUGUGGAAAGGUUCAUAAUAUGUUAUUAAAUAGUUAUUAUAGGUUUUUAAAUGGUGUUGCCUUGCUUUUUGUACAAGAAAAAUAACUGGAUAGAAACACACCAAAAUAUCCAUAGUUAUUAUCUCUGGAUAAUGGAAUUGCAGGUUACAGAAUCACGUUUUACAUUUUUGCAAAUUCUUGGCUCUGAGCAUCUAUUACUAUUGUAAUCCACAAAAUGUUCAUUGAAAAAAAGAUAGCUCUACUAUUAGUUUUGAAGCCAGCAUAUACUAGGCAAAGAAUAUAUUUUCUGUAGAUAUUUCAUACACGUGAGAGUGGUUCACUUCUAGCACAAAAUCUGGGAGCUAUGAGAGAAGACAGGUGUGGCAGAGGAUUUAUUGUGAUGGAAGGGGACCAGGGACAUUUUCACGGCGAAUCUGGCAAGAAAGUAGCAAUGGAAAACAGGUCUGCAAGAGGUGAGAGGAGAAUGGAUUCUGAGAUCGAAACUGUGUAGGCUUUGGCCACAGCAUGAGCAGAAAAGAGGGGAGUCCUCAUGUUAUGGUUCGGGUCUAGAUGUCUCCCCAAAGCCUCAUGUGGUCGUAGGGUGGAUCUAGAGUGUGUGAAACUGGAAUUGAUUCACGGUGCAAUGCUAGGCUCAAGGGCACUGGGAUUAAGGGUGUGAGUGCUGCCCACC
rnacentral:lncRNA from 1 species